UACGUAGGGCGCAAGCGUUGUCCGGAAUUAUUGGGCGUAAAGAGCUCGUAGGCGGUCUGUCGCGUCUGCUGUGAAAACUCAGGGCUUAACCCUGAGCUUGCAGUGGGUACGGGCAGACUAGAGUGCGGUAGGGGAGACUGGAAUUCCGUGGUGUAGCGGUGAAAUGCGCAGAUAUCAGGAGGAACACCGGUGGCGAAGGCGGGUCUCUGGGCCGUAACUGACGCUGGAGGAGCGAAAGCAUGGGGAGCGAACAGG
rnacentral:rRNA from 1 species